CCUACGGGAGGCUGCAGUGAGGAAUAUUGGUCAAUGGGCGGGAGCCUGAACCCGCCACGUCGCGUGAGGGAAGACGGUCCUAUGGAUUGUAAACCUCUUUAGGCGGGGAGCAAUGCCGGGCACGCGUGCCCGGCGGGAGAGUACCCGCCGAAUAAGCAUCGGCUAACUCCGUGCCCGCCGCCGCGGUAAUACGGGGGAUGCGCGCGUUAUCCGGAUGUAUUGGGUUUAACGGGUGCGUAGGCGGAUUUUUAAGUCAGCGGUAAAAUGUCCGGGCUCAACCCGGGCCGGCCGUUGAAACUGGGGAUCUUGAGUGGGCGAGAAGUAUGCGGAAUGCGUGGUGUAGCGGUGAAAUGCAUAGAUAUCACGCAGAACGCCGAUUGCGAAGGCAGCAUACCGGCGCCCGACUGACGCUGAGGCACGAAAGCGUGGGGAUCGAACAGGAUUAGAUACCCGUGUAGUC
rnacentral:rRNA from 1 species